rnacentral:rRNA from 1 species
UUGACCUCGGAUCAGGUAGAUGC